GGGGGCGUAACGGCUUCGACGUGUUUGGUGAAGACGACGUUGCGUGCCGAGGUCCGGGGACCUCGAUAAUCCACCCGGAAACUUUAUAACUGCCAACGAUAACCUGGCAAUGGCUGCGUAAGGUUCGACCUUGCAGGCCCGUCUCCUGACGUUGCGAGCCCGUAGCGACUCCUGAGGCGACGAUGAAUCGGGCUGGUCAUCCGGCGGUGCUGUCCCGUCGGGGAUGAGAAACUCAGGCAGAUAGCCUGGUCCGGCCGUGCCCUGGCCGUGUCCAUCGGCGAAAUCAACAGGGCUCUACGCACGUAGAGACGUAGUUGGAACCCCUCGCGGACGCGGGUUCGACUCCCGCCGCCUCCAUGG
rnacentral:tmRNA from 1 species